rnacentral:rRNA from 1 species
UACGUAGGGGGCAAGCGUUGUCCGGAUUUAUUGGGCGUAAAGAGCGUGUAGGCGGCCUUGCAAGUCCGUUGUGAAAACUCGAGGCUCAACCUCGAGACGCCGGUGGAAACUGCAAAGCUAGAGUCCGGAAGAGGAGAGUGGAAUUCCUGGUGUAGCGGUGAAAUGCGCAGAUAUCAGGAGGAACACCCGUGGCGAAAGCGGCUCUCUGGGACGGUACUGACGCUGAGACGCGAAAGCGUGGGGAGCGAACAGG